rnacentral:rRNA from 1 species
UACGGGGGGGGCAAGCGUUGUUCGGAAUUACUGGGCGUAAAGGGCUCGUAGGGCGGCCAACUAAGUCAGACGUGAAAUCCCCAGGCUCAACCUGGGAACUGCGUCUGAUACUGGAUGGCUUGAAUCCGGGAGAGGGAUGCAGAAUUCCAGGUGUAGCGGUGAAAUGCGUAGAUAUCUGGAGGAAUACCGGUGGCGAAGGCGGCAUCCUGGACCGGCAUUGACGCUGAGGAGCGAAAGCCAGGGGAAGCAAACGGG